CCUACGGGUGACUGCAGUGAGGAAUAUUGGUCAAUGGGCGGGAGCCUGAACCAGCCAAGUCGCGUGAGGGAAGACGGUCCUAUGGAUUGUAAACCUCUUUAGGCGGGGAGCAAUGCCGGGCACGUGUGCCCGGAGGGAGAGUACCCGCAGACUAAGCAUCGGAUAACUCCGUGCCAGCAGCCGCGGUAAUACGGAGGAUGCCAGCGUUAUCCGGAUUUAUUGGGUUUAAAGGGUGCGUAGGCGGAGUUUUAAGUCAGCGGUAAAAUGUCGGGGCUCAACCCGGGCCGGCCGUUGAAACUGGGGAUCUUGAGUGGGCGAGAGGUAUGCGGAAGGCGUGGUGUAGCGGUGAAAUGCGUAGAUAUAACGCAGAACACCGAUUGCGAAGGCAGCAUACCGGCGCCCGACUGACGCUGAGGCACGAAAGCGUGGGGAUCGAACAGGAUUAGAUACCCCUGUAGUC
rnacentral:rRNA from 1 species